UACGUAGGUGGCGAGCGUUGUCCGGAUUUACUGGGCGUAAAGAGCGCGCAGGCGGUCGUACAAGUCGCGUGUGAAAGCCCCUGGCUCAACUGGGGAGGGUCACGCGAUACUGUUCGACUUGAAGGCAGGAGAGGGAAGUGGAAUUCCCGGUGUAGUGGUGAAAUGCGCAGAUAUCAGGAGGAACACCAAUGGCGAAGGCAGCUCGCUGGGACGGUACUGACGCUGAGACGCGAAAGCGUGGGGAGCAAACAGG
rnacentral:rRNA from 1 species